GUAGUGGUGUGGAACCAACGUCUAUCGAAGGGGUGUCGGAUAAAUAACUACACACGAAAAUAACACAACUACUAUACCUCAGUUUUGGUGGUAAACCAUUUUAAGUGCUUUCCUUCUGGGAAUACCUGCUCUCACAGAAUGGACACAUGUAGGCAGCAUGUUUCCCAAGUGAUCAUUAGUCCCAGGCCAGUCAGGAGGUAAGGCCCAGAGAGGUGCCCCAGUCAGGAGGUAAGGCCCAGAGAGGUGCCCCAGUCAGGAGGUAAGGCCCAGAGAGGUGUCCCAG